rnacentral:rRNA from 1 species
CGUGAGUAACCUGCCUUGGAGUGGGGAAUAACAGUUGGAAACAACUGCUAAUACCGCAUGAUGCAGUUGGGUCGCAUGGCUCUGACUGCCAAAGAUUUAUCGCUCUGAGAUGGACUCGCGUCUGAUUAGCUAGUUGGUGAGGUAACGGCUCACCAAGGCGACGAUCAGUAGCCGGACUGAGAGGUUGGCCGGCCACAUUGGGACUGAGACACGGCCCAGACUCCUACGGGAGGCAGCAG